GUAGUUAUGUCAGAAUUGUAUGAGUUAGCUUUAAGCGCUAAUUAUGGAGGUAUCCUAACUACU
rnacentral:tRNA from 1 species